rnacentral:rRNA from 2 species
UCGAUCGAACUUAAUCAGUUAGUUUACUAAUGAAGCGGUUAGUGGCGGACUGGUGAGUAACACGUAAGCAACCUGCCUAUUAUAGGGGAACAACAGUUAGAAAUGACUGCUAAUACCGCAUAUGCCAUAAGUAUCGCAUGAUACAAGUGGGAAAGGAGCAAUCCGCUAAUAGAUGGGCUUGCGUCUGAUUAGAUAGUUGGUGGGGUAACGGCCUACCAAGUCGACGAUCAGUAGCCGAGUUGAGAGACUCUACGGCCACAUUGGGACUGAGAUACGGCCCAGACUCCUACGGGAGGCAGCAGUCGGGAAUAUUGCGCAAUGGAGGAAACUCUGACGCAGUGACGCCGCGUGCAGGAAGAAGGUUUUCGGAUUGUAAACUGCUUUAGACAGGGAAGAAAAAGACAGUACCUGUAGAAUAAGCUCCGGCUAACUACGUGCCAGCAGCCGCGGUAAUACGUAGGGAGCAAGCGUUAUCCGGAUUUAUUGGGUGUAAAGGGUGCGUAGACGGGAAAAUAAGUUAGUUGUGAAAUCCCCAUGCUUAACAUGGGAACUGCAACUAAAACUGUUUUUCUUGAGUGCUGGAGAGGAAAGUGGAAUUCCUAGUGUAGCGGUGAAAUGCGUAGAUAUUAGGAGGAACACCAGUGGCGAAGGCGACUUUCUGGACAGUAACUGACGUUGAGGCACGAAAGUGUGGGGAGCAAACAGGAUUAGAUACCCUGGUAGUCCACACCGUAAACGAUGGAUACUAGGUGUAGGGUGUGAUAAACGCUCUGUGCCGUCGCAAACGCAGUAAGUAUCCCACCUGGGGAGUACGGCCGCAAGGUUGAAACUCAAAGGAAUUGACGGGGGCCCGCACAAGCAGUGGAGUAUGUGGUUUAAUUCGACGCAACGCGAAGAACCUUACC